rnacentral:lncRNA from 1 species
CAUCUUCUAUGUGACUCAUUGUCCUGUGGAGCCAACCCAUUUUACUGAUGAAGGACAUAAUUGUUAACGGACUUUUACUGAAGUGAGCAUUACCUUUUUUCUUAUGCUCCAUGGACAUCUCAUCAAGGACCCUUGAAGUGAGGUUACCAUUCUUAGCUCCCACAGCGAAGAGAUCUCAGGAGACUGGACACUGAAGAAUCUCAUCUUGUAUAAAGACAGACCAAGGCUAGAAUGCACUGUCUUUGAAGCAUUGAGCAGGCCCUCACCAGACACCAAAUCUGCUGGUUCCUGGAUCUUGGACUUCCCAGCCUCAUAACUGGGCAUCACAAAUCUCCGAGAGGAACGCAUCCACUUCCUGGCCUGGUAGAGCGGAGAGCAGAGGUGGGCCCAGGAGUCCAAGAACUUCCCCUAAGGCUGCUAGUCGGUAACUUGCUCCUCACCUUCCACCGUGAUUGUGAGGCCUCCCCAGCCAUGUGGAACUGACCCAUCUCUUGAGCAGAGACCCAAGAGGGCAGGACAGGAAGAAUGGAAGUGAGAUUUGGCCCCGGUCAUGUUUUCCAAAGUGCUGACAUCAGGAAAAUAAUAGAAGUUAACGCAGAUAUGGGGCUGCCACUGAGGAGAGAGAAGACUGAAAGAAGCAUAUAGAUAAAAGGCCCCAUGACUGGUAUAGAACUGAAAGUAAAUCAAGCUGGACUUAUGAAGGAUUCCUCUCUCCAUUCGUGGAUGAAUUUGAGUGGCACUGGAACAAGGAACAAAAUUUAAAUAAUGGAAUUUGGGGAAAAUAAAUUCAGUUACCUGAGGUCAACCUUGGUCUGAAAUUAGGGAGAAGCUCAGGGAGUUUCUAUGAGGAUCAGGUUAUCUGAGUAGGCUGAACCAUCGGUGAAAAGGAGGCCAAGCAUCUCAAAAAUAGGACACGUGAGAGUAUGGAGCCAAUGUGACACUCAGGUGAGUUAGCCUUAUGAUCCCUAAGCAUGCAGUCCUUGGACCAGAUGCAUCAGGAUCUUCUGGUAAGUGUGCUAAAAUAUAGGCUACUGAGACCCACCCUAUGUCUGUCAAAUCAGAAUAUUCUAAGGAAGCAGGUCCCAGGGAAUAUAUAUUUUAAAGCUCCCUAAAUACACUUCAUGGGCUGCCAGAUUUGGGAAUCGCAGGAUUAGGUAGCUACCUAAAUGAAGACACUUAAAUGUGCCAAAAGCUUCUCUUUCACCCAUCCAUUUAUCCAUCUAUUCACCCAUCCAUCAACCAAACAUGUGCCAGUAUCUGGUAUUUGCUUCAUGACCUGCUACUGCUGUGGUGGGUGCAAAGAUAAAUGAUCAAUGUUCUCAAAGAGUCAAUAGUCUAAGAGAAUGGAUGAAUGAAGUAUAAAUAAUAAAAGAUGUGCUAUGAAGUACGAUAGGGGUCCAGAAAAGUAUAUACUUAUUCCAGAUUGUGGCAGAAGACUCUGGAGAGGUUUCGUUUUAUAUAAUGGCAUGAAUUCCCCUUCAGAUCCAUCUCUAAAUCAAGCUUCACCUACUUCUGACUGUUUGUGUUAGAUACCAAUCCUAUGGAUUUCUAUAGUUUUCUGGAAUUACUUUUUACACACUACAGUAGAGUUAUGUGGCUGCUUCCAUGUUUUACUUAGAAGCUGAGAGCUUGAUAAAAGUGAAGGCUGCAUCUUAAUCAUCACCUUUUCCCCCACCUCCUAGCUAGGGUCUGGCUCUGCCUAAGCAGCUGCCAUUGGUGCUCAAUAAACAUUGAAGAAGUUGGGUUGUUGCACUGGUUAUGCAAAGAAAGGGACACAGUGGGUGUAAGCGUGGGGCGGGGAGCAAAGCUGGGACCAAUCAUGGAACACCUAGAAUUUGAAUCAAAUUUGGGCUUUAGUUUUUAGGCAAUGAGCCUAAGACAAUUUUGGAAGCAUCCUUUGUUCACAAAAAAGUUAGAAAUGGUGAGAACUAGGGCAGUCUAUCACAAAGUGUGGGAGAGGUAAUUUUAUAUGUAAACUAUUAUAAAUCACAUUUGAGUUAUGAAGUGAGACAAUUAUUCCCUUUGCAGUUUCAUUUCAUUCUGUCUAAUUAUUUCAGGGAGACAUUCUGAAUUGGGUGCUAGUAUUUUAACACUUCUCUAACACUUUCUCUUUUUAAAUUUUGUUUAUUUUUAAUUGACAAAUAAUAAUUGUGUAUAUUUAUGGGGUACAUUGGGCAUGGAGGGUGGGUUAUUCUGUGAUGUCUUGACCUGUGUGUACAUUGUAACACUUCUCUAAUACUUUCUAAUCCAGCCAUCCCCAACCUUUUUGGCACCAGGAACCAGUUUUGUGGAAGACGAUUUUUCCACAGAUGGUUGGGGGAUGAUUUUGGGAUGGAACUAUUCCACCUCAGAUCAUCAGGCAUUAGAUUCUCAUAAGAAGCAUGCAACGUAGAUCCCUCACAUAUACAGUUCACAAUAGGGUUCAUGGUUCUAUGAGAAUCUAAUGCUGCCACUGAUCUAACAGGAGGCAGAGCUCAGCUGAUAAUGCUUUUUCACCUGCUACUGACUUCCUGCUGUGUUGCCCAGUUCCUAACAGGCCAUAGACUGGUACCAGUCCAUAGCCUGGGGCUUGAGGACCCCUGCUCUAUGAUGUCUAUACAACAAUAAAAUUGCCUAAUGAUACAUUUCUCAGAAUGUAUACCCAUCAUUAAGUGACACAUGGCUGCUUGUGUAUUUUUAUAUAUAGCUAAAUGUGGCUAGAUUAGAUGUGAUAUCUCUUUGGAUGCAGGGAUAGGUGGGCAAGUUUCUAAAACACGAAACUAACUGUGUCUUUUCUCUGCUUAAGAACCUUCCAUGACUCCCUGUUGUUCAUAACCGGAUAAAUUCUAAGCUGCCUAACUCAGAAUUCUAGCUUAGAGAUGUCUACGCCUGGCUGCUCCCAACAGUUAGUCUCAUGUCCUGUCUCAAACAUGGGGCUUCAGUAAGAAUGAAAUUUCCAAGGAGAAUUUUAUAUUCUGCAUGCCUUUAAAGGCUCAAGCCUGGAGACCCCCCUUCUUGCCUCUCUUACCCUUUUCACCAGGGCACCCUCUAUUCAUCCUUCCAGAGCCUUCUCUGGGAAGUCCUUUCCCAAAGCCCACUUCCCAGCCUAAGCUUAGUGCUAUUUCUGUAGAUACCCAGAAACACAUCAACUAUAUGUACAGUUUACCCUAGUAUGUCAAAGUUAUAGUUACUGCCUUAGGAGGGAUUUUGAGCUUUUCAUCUUUAUUACUCGGGCUUCUGCUACUGUGUCAAGCAGGUAGUUGACACUCAACAAAUGUUUGUUUAGCCUAACUCAGCAGAACACAUGGAGUGUGUUCACAUGGAGUAACCUGAUUUUGCUUAGUCUGCAACAUUUCUUGCAUGCAUCCCCUGCUUGCAGUCUCAAUUACAGUCAUCCUGUUUCAGUUUUCUUAACUUGUCACUCCCUUCCUCUGAUAACUUUUGCCAUACCUCUGUAUAACAUGGCCUACUUUUUGAAAAAGAUUUUUUUACAUUCACCUACAUUUGUCUCAAAUUUUUUUUUAAAAGAAACUUUGUAUUACUACCGUCAUUGAAAACCUUCAUCACUUGGCACAAAAGAAAGUUUAAAAAAUACAACAAAAGACAUUCUACUAAAUUCUGGCUAGACAACCUUGCCUGCUCUAGUAGAUGCACUGAGACCAUUAAUGAAUCUUUCAUCCCACCUUGUGUCAUAUUCUUUGCCACAUGACUUUGGGUCUCCCUCACUACUAGGCAAGUUCCUGUCUCCAUCUCUUGAUUCUGAAUUCAGCCAUAAUACUUGCUCUCCCCAAUGUUGUUUUAGCAGAUUUGACACAUACAGAAGCGUGAAAAACUCUUGUGUGACUGGGAUAGCUCCUCUGCAAUGAGAACAUGCCUGGGAUAAUGUACUGAAAAGAUGUGAGAAAUACAUGAAGCAGAGUCCAGUCAUCCCAGCCAAGAACCAGCUGUGAAUGUAACCGCAUGACUUUGAGGCAAGUCCAGACCAAGAACAAAGAACCACUGGUCUUAAAGACAGACCUGCAGAUUCCUGAGCUAAAUAAAAGUUUAUUGUUGAAAGGCA